GGCGGCGGCAGCACCGAGUCGGCGGGCGGCCGGCCCAGCGCGGCAGCGCACGCGAGUCCGGGACCAGCGGAGCGGACCGAGCAGCGUCCUGUGGCCGGCACCGCGGCGGCCCAGAUCCGGCCAGCAGCGCGCGCCCGGACGCCGCUGCCUUCAGCCGGCCCCGCCCAGCGCCCGCCCGCGGGAUGCGGAGCGGCGGGCGCCCGAGGCCGCGGCCCGGCUAGGCCCAGUCGCCCGCACGCGGCGGCCCGACGCUGCGGCCAGGCCGGCUGGGCUCAGCCUACCGAGAAGAGACUCUGAGCAUCAUCCCUGGGUUACCCCUGUCUCUGGGGGCCACGGAUACCAUGAACGACGUAGCCAUUGUGAAGGAGGGCUGGCUGCACAAACGAGGGGAAUAUAUUAAAACCUGGCGGCCACGCUACUUCCUCCUCAAGAACGAUGGCACCUUUAUUGGCUACAAGGAACGGCCUCAGGAUGUGGAUCAGCGAGAGUCCCCACUCAACAACUUCUCAGUGGCACAAUGCCAGCUGAUGAAGACAGAGCGGCCAAGGCCCAACACCUUUAUCAUCCGCUGCCUGCAGUGGACCACAGUCAUUGAGCGCACCUUCCAUGUGGAAACGCCUGAGGAGCGGUGAGGAAGAAUGGGCCACCGCCAUUCAGACUGUGGCAGAUGGACUCAAGAGGCAGGAAGAAGAGACGAUGGACUUCCGAUCAGGCUCACCCAGUGACAACUCAGGGGCUGAAGAGAUGGAGGUGUCCCUGGCCAAGCCCAAGCACCGUGUGACCAUGAACGAGUUUGAGUACCUGAAGCUACUGGGCAAGGGCACCUUUGGGAAGGUGAUUCUGGUGAAAGAGAAGGCCACAGGCCGCUACUAUGCCAUGAAGAUCCUCAAGAAGGAGGUCAUCGUCGCCAAGGAUGAGGUUGCCCACACGCUUACUGAGAACCGUGUCCUGCAGAACUCUAGGCAUCCCUUCCUUACGGCCCUCAAGUACUCAUUCCAGACCCACGACCGCCUCUGCUUUGUCAUGGAGUAUGCCAACGGGGGCGAGCUCUUCUUCCACCUGUCUCGAGAGCGUGUGUUCUCCGAGGACCGGGCCCGCUUCUAUGGUGCGGAGAUUGUGUCUGCCCUGGACUACUUGCACUCCGAGAAGAACGUGGUGUACCGGGACCUGAAGCUGGAGAACCUCAUGCUGGACAAGGACGGGCACAUCAAGAUAACGGACUUCGGGCUGUGCAAGGAGGGGAUCAAGGACGGUGCCACUAUGAAGACAUUCUGCGGAACGCCGGAGUACCUGGCCCCUGAGGUGCUGGAGGACAACGACUACGGCCGUGCAGUGGACUGGUGGGGGCUGGGCGUGGUCAUGUACGAGAUGAUGUGUGGCCGCCUGCCCUUCUACAACCAGGACCACGAGAAGCUGUUCGAGCUGAUCCUCAUGGAGGAGAUCCGCUUCCCGCGCACACUCGGCCCUGAGGCCAAGUCCCUGCUCUCCGGGCUGCUCAAGAAGGACCCUACACAGAGGCUCGGUGGGGGCUCCGAGGAUGCCAAGGAGAUCAUGCAGCACCGGUUCUUUGCCAACAUCGUGUGGCAGGAUGUGUAUGAGAAGAAGCUGAGCCCACCUUUCAAGCCCCAGGUCACCUCUGAGACUGACACCAGGUAUUUCGAUGAGGAGUUCACAGCUCAGAUGAUCACCAUCACGCCGCCUGAUCAAGAUGACAGCAUGGAGUGUGUGGACAGUGAGCGGAGGCCGCACUUCCCCCAGUUCUCCUACUCAGCCAGUGGCACAGCCUGAGGCCUGGGGCAGCGGCUGGCAGCUCCACGCUCCUCUGCAUUGCCGAGUCCAGAAGCCCCGCAUGGAUCAUCUGAACCUGAUGUUUUGUUUCUCGGAUGCGCUGGGGAGGAACCUUGCCAGCCUCCAGGACCAGGGGAGGAUGUUUCUACUGUGGGCAGCAGCCUACCUCCCAGCCAGGUCAGGAGGAAAACUAUCCUGGGGUUUUUCUUAAUUUAUUUCAUCCAGUUUGAGACCACACAUGUGGCCUCAGUGCCCAGAACAAUUAGAUUCAUGUAGAAAACUAUUAAGGACUGACGCGACCAUGUGCAAUGUGGGCUCAUGGGUCUGGGUGGGUCCCGUCACUGCCCCCAUUGGCCUGUCCACCCUGGCCGCCACCUGUCUCUAGGGUCCAGGGCCAAAGUCCAGCAAGAAGGCACCAGAAGCACCCCCCUGUGGUAUGCUAACUGGCCCUCUCCCUCUGGGCGGGGAGAGGUCACAGCUGCUUCAGCCCUAGGGCUGGAUGGGAUGGCCAGGGCUCAAGUGAGGUUGACAGAGGAACAAGAAUCCAGUUUGUUGCUGUGUCCCAUGCUGUUCAGAGACAUUUAGGGGAUUUUAAUCUUGGUGACAGGAGAGCCCCUGCCCUCCCGCACCCGCUCCCGCGUGGUGGCUCUUAGCGGGUACCCUGGGAGCGCCUGCCUCACGUGAGCCCUUCUCCUAGCACUUGUCCUUUUAGAUGCUUUCCCUCUCCCGCUGUCCGUCACCCUGGCCUGUCCCCUCCCGGCCAGACGCUGGCCAUUGCUGCACCAUGUCGUUUUUUACAACAUUCAGCUUCAGCAUUUUUACUAUUAUAAUAAGAAACUGUCCCUCCAAAUUCAAUAAAAAUUGCUUUUCAA